rnacentral:rRNA from 1 species
CCUACGGGAGGCAGCAGUGGGGAAUAUUGCACAAUGGGCGGAAGCCUGAUGCAGCGACGCCGCGUGAGGGAUGAAGGCCUUCGGGUUGUAAACCUCUUUCAGCAGGGACGAAGCGUGAGUGACGGUACCUGCAGAAGAAGCACCGGCUAACUACGUGCCAGCAGCCGCGGUAAUACGUAGGGUGCGAGCGUUGUCCGGAAUUACUGGGCGUAAAGAGUUCGUAGGCGGUUUGUCGCGUCGUUUGUGAAAACCCGGGGCUCAACUUCGGGCUUGCAGGCGAUACGGGCAGACUUGAGUGUUUCAGGGGAGACUGGAAUUCCUGGUGUAGCGGUGAAAUGCGCAGAUAUCAGGAGGAACACCGGUGGCGAAGGCGGGUCUCUGGGAAACAACUGACGCUGAGGAACGAAAGCGUGGGUAGCAAACAGGAUUAGAUACCCUGGUAGUCCACGCCGUAAACGGUGGGCGCUAGGUGUGGGUUCCUUCCACGGGAUCUGUGCCGUAGCUAACGC